CAGUAGCCGCGGUAAUACAGAGGGUGCAAGCGUUAAUCGGAAUUACUGGGCGUAAAGCGCGCGUAGGUGGUUUGUUAAGUUGGAUGUGAAAGCCCCGGGCUCAACCUGGGAACUGCAUCCAAAACUGGCAAGCUAGAGUACGGUAGAGGGUGGUGGAAUUUCCUGUGUAGCGGUGAAAUGCGUAGAUAUAGGAAGGAACACCAGUGGCGAAGGCGACCACCUGGACUGAUACUGACACUGAGGUGCGAAAGCGUGGGGAGCAAACAGGAUUAGAUACCCCAGUAGUUCCUGUCUCUUAUAC
rnacentral:rRNA from 1 species